GGAUUAGCUCAGUUGGGAGAGCGUCUGCCUUACAAGCAGAAUGUCGGGGGUUCAAGUCCCUCAUCCUC
rnacentral:tRNA from 1 species